GGAUUAGAUACCCUGGUAGUCCACGCCCUAAACGAUGUCAACUAGCCGUUGGGUUCAUUUAAGGACUUAGUGGCGCAGCUAACGCGUUAAGUUGACCGCCUGGGGAGUACGGCCGCAAGGUUAAAACUCAAAGGAAUUGACGGGGGCCCGCACAAGCGGUGGAGCAUGUGGUUUAAUUCGAUGCAACGCGAAGAACCUUACCAGGCCUUGACAUCCUCGGAACUUUCUAGAGAUAGAUUGGUGCCUUCGGGAACCGAGUGACAGGUGCUGCAUGGCUGUCGUCAGCUCGUGCCG
rnacentral:rRNA from 1 species